GACGAACGCUGGCGGCGUGCUUAACACAUGCAAGUCGAACGGAAAGGCCCUGCUUUUGUGGGGUGCUCGAGUGGCGAACGGGUGAGUAACGCGUGAGUAACCUGCCCUUGACUUUGGGAUAACUUCAGGAAACUGGGGCUAAUCCCGGAUAGGAGCUCCUGCUGCAUGGUGGGGGUUGGAAAGUUUCGGCGGUUGGGGAUGGACUCGCGGCUUAUCAGCUUGUUGGUGGGGUAGUGGCUUACCAAGGCUUUGACGGGUAGCCGGCCUGAGAGGGUGACCGGCCACAUUGGGACUGAGAUACGGCCCAGACUCCUACGGGAGGCAGCAGUGGGGAAUAUUGCACAAUGGGCGGAAGCCUGAUGCAGCAACGCCGCGUGCGGGAUGACGGCCUUCGGGUUGUAAACCGCUUUCGCCUGUGACGAAGCGUGAGUGACGGUAAUGGGUAAAGAAGCACCGGCUAACUACGUG
rnacentral:rRNA from 1 species